AAGUAAAAACAUAAUUUUUGUUUUUGCUGUCAUUAUUUGGGAUUUCCAUAAUUUCUAAGUAUAUUAGGUACCCUUUCAUGUUUAUUGUAUUAUGCUGAUGGCAAUGUCAUAUUUCAUUAACAUCAAGUUGGUAAAAAUAAAAAGCAGAAAAAUUUUCUGCUAUUACUGUUGUUCUAGAUUUCUGUCCUAUAAAUAUUUACCUUUUGUGGCUAUGAGUUAUUUUCAGAAUAUGAAUGCUUUUGGAAGAUGUAUCUUGUUUUAAGUCAGAUUAGACUGCUAACCAAAAUUUGAACUGAUUCCUUUACUUUUGAUAAAUAUAUUGUGGUACUAAUACUACAAACAGUUGUUAUAUUUUGUACUUGUCACAUUUUCUAUUAAAUAUAUGUCAGUGAAGGCAUAGCUUUAAUGAGGGUUAGGGAGAGUCAAAUAUCUAUAGUCACCCUUUUGCAUUGAUAUUAACAGCCUUCAGUCUUGGAACUGCUACUGUGCUAGCUAUAUCCACAAUAACUGACAGGGAGUGUGGAUGUAGGGAAUAGGGAAAAAUCUAGAGAAGAUUUAUGCAUCAGAUAGAGGUUCAAGUAUCUAUUGAUUUAACAUGUAUUUCUUGAGUAUUUACUGUGUGCAAGGAAGGCAUGGUGCAAGCUGUUGUGGAAGAUAAAUAAUCUGGUUUCUAGCCUAAGAAAACUUACAAACUAGAUAAACUUCAAGGUCUUUUCCUACACAGAGGUUCUGUUAAUACUGUGAUUGUUUACUGAGCUUUAGUUGGUUUUUCCUAUGACCGGGUUCUCUGUAUACACAGGAUAUAAUUUGCUUUUGUUAGGUAAGGUCAUGCACUGCGUGAUGUUUCAGUCAAUGAUGGACCACAUAGAGGAUGGUGGUCCCAUAAGAUUAUAAUACCUUAGUAUUAAUGAACCUUUUCUAUGUUUAGAUAUAUUUAGAUACACAGAUACCAUUGCAUUACAAUUUCUUACAGUAUUAAGUACAGUUACAUGUUCUAUGGGUUUGCAGCCUACAGUAGGCCAUACCAUAUAUCCUAGGUUUGUAGUAGGCUGUACCCUCUAGGUUUGUGUAAGUACCCUCCAUGAUGGUCACACAAUGAUGAAACCACCUAAUGAUGCAUUUCUCAAUACAUAUCCCCAUCAUUAAGCAACUCAUGACUAUAAUUUAGAGAGUACCAAAAAUAAGCUUUUCCACAAAUAUCUUUACCAAUGAGCCAAAAAAGCCCUGUUAAUCAUUCCUUUGGAUGAAAGAAUUAUCUGUUGGUGACAUAUACACCAGUGGAACAGAACAGAGGCCUCAGAAAUAACACCACACAUCUACAAUCAUCUGAUCUUUGACAAACCUGACAAAAACAAGCAAUGGGGAAAGGAUUCCCUGCUUAAUAAAUGGUGCUGGGAAAACUGGCUAGCCAUAUGUAGAAAGCUGAAACUGGAUCCCUUCCUUACACCUUAUACAAAAAUUAACUCAAGAUGGAUUAAAGACUUAAAUGUAAGACCUAACACCAUAAAAACCCUAGAAGAAAACCUAGGCAAUACCAUUCAGGACAUAGACAUGGGCAAAGACUUCAUGACUAAAAUACCAAAAGCAAUGGCAACAAAAGCCAAAAUAGACAAAUGGGAUCUAAUUAAACUAAAGAGCUUCUGCACAGCAAAAUAAACUAUCAUCAGAGUGAAUAGACAACCUACAGAAUGGGAGAAAAUUUUUGCAAUCUACUCAUCUGUCAAAGGGCUAAUAUCCAGAAUCUACAAAGAACUUAAACAACUUUACAAGAAAAAAACAAACAACCCCAUCAAAAAGUGGGCAAAGGAUAUGAACAGACACUUCUCAAAAGAAGACAUUUAUGCAGCCAACAGACACAUGAAAAAAUGCUCAUGAUCACUGGUCAUCAGAGAAAUGCAAAUCAAAACCACAAUGAGAUACCAUCUCAUGCCAGUUAGAAUGGCGAUCAUUAAAAAGUCAGGAAACAACAGAUGCUGGAGAGGAUGUGGAGAAAUAGGAGUGUUUUACAUUGUUGGUGGGAGUGUAAGUUAGUUCAACCAUUGUGGAAGACAGUGUGGCGAUUCCUCAAGGAUCUAGAACUAGAAAUACCAUUUGACCCAGCCAUCCCAUUACUGGGUAUAUACCAAAAGGAUUAUAAAUCAUGCUACUGUAAAGACACAUGCACGUGUAUGUUUAUUGUGGCACUAUUCACAAUAGCAAAGACUUGGAACCAACCCAAAUGUCCAUCAAUGAUAGACUGGAUUAAGAAAAUGUGACACAUAUACACCAUGGAAUACUAUGCAGCCAUGAAAAAGAAUGAGUUCAUGUCCUUUGCAGGGACAUAGAUGAAGCUGGAGACCAUCAUUCUCAGCAAACUAUUGCAAGGACAGAAAACCAAACACUGCAUGUUCUCACUCAUAGGUGGAAGUUGAACAAUAAGAACACAUGGACACAGGGUGGGGAACAUCACAUGCCGGGGCCUGUCGGGGCAUAGCAUUAGGAGAAAUACCUAAUAUAAAUGACGAGUUAAUGGGUGCAGCAAACCAGCAUAGCACGUGUAUAACUAUGUAACAAACCUGCACAUUGUACACAUGUACCCUAGAACUUGAAGUAUAAUAAUAAAAAAGAAUUAUCUGUUGGCUGAUCUUUAAAUUGUUACCUAACAAAGGAUUCUACCAGAAUAUUGAAUUUCUUUAGCAGAAUAGUUAUUUGAGAUGAGGAAGCAGAAAUAGUAGAACAUGAAACAGAUAACAUUUUGAUGGCAGUAAUUGGGACUUAGAGUCAAAUCAACUGAACAGAGCACUGGCCUGAUGAAGGCAAGGCUUAGAGAGACAAAUUUAUGUGUGGGGUGGUUCCUGGGAAGCUAAGAAGUAUGAGGGCCUUAGAAAAGGGUGCUAAAAAUGAGGAGAGGAUGCCUUGAAAAAUUGAAGAGUGAAUGGCAUAGUUUAAUGAUACAAGUCUUCUCUGGGAUGAACUUGGCCAUAAAAACUGGAAGGGGUGAUGGGGAAAACCCCUGCAUUAUAUGAGUUUUUUCUAAUUCUGUGAAGAAUGUCAAUGGUAGUUUCAUGAGAAUAACAUUGAAUUUAUAAAUUACUUUGGGCAAUAUGGACAUUUUCACGAUAUUGAUAUAUUCUGGAGCACUUUGAGAGGCCAAGGUGGGUGGAUCACUUGAGGUCAUUAGUUCGAGACCAGCCUGGCCAAUGUGGUGAAACCGCAUCUUUACUAAAACUACAGAAAAUUAUCCAGGCAUGGUGGCAGGCGCCUGUAAUUCCAGCUGCUUGAGAGCCUGAGGCAGGAGAAUCUCUUGAACCUCUGAGGUGGAGUUUGCAGAGAGCUAAGAUUGUGCCACUACACUCCAGCCUGGGUGUUGCAGUGAGACUCCGUCCACCCCCUCCCCCCCAAAAAAAAGGGAUAUUCUGGAGAAGGAAAAGAAGAAACUUUAAUCAGAUGAAGCCCCAAAGCAUUCAGUACUCCUGAUGUAGGAGGUGAAAGAGAAUGGCUUUAUGAUUGUUUGUUUCAUUCUGUUGCCUUCAUAAUGAGUACUUGAUAGUGUGGAUGAUGUCAGUGUUCUUUUUGACAUAUAAAGGAAUAGCAGAUCUACUCUUAACAGUUUCUUAGUAGAGAACUUGUCUUUUACUGAGGCUACUGAUUAAUAGCAAAGGAAUUCUAGAUUGGGUGUAGUGGCUCACACCUGUAAUCCCAGUACUUUGGGAGGCUGAGGUGGGCGGGUCACUUCAGGUCAGGAGUUUGGGACCAGCCUGGCCAACAUGGUGAAACCCUGUCUCUACUAAAAAUAUAAAAAAUUAGCCAGGCGUGGUGGUGGGCGCCUGUAAUCCCAGCGACUUGGAAGGCUGAGGCAGGACAAUCUCUUGAACCCAGGAGGUAGAGGUUGCAAUGAGCUGAGAUUGAGUGCGCCACUGCACUCCAGCACCUGGGUGACAGAGCGAGACCAUGUCUCAAGAAAAAAAAAAAAGAAUUCUUUGAGGACAGUGUGUGAGUAAAAAAAUUAUGACAGUGGAAGCAAAAGAGGAGGAGGAAAAGAGAUGGCAAAAGUGGGUGGAUAUUAUUGGAGGAAACACGAGAGGAAGGAAGAUGAGAAAAAAGCAUGGGUGGAAUGGAAAAAGAUUGUCUUCAUUCUGUUGUGAAGGCCUCAACCAUCUGAGGGUUCACCUCUCUUUUGCUUCCAUCCCUCCUAGCUUCCUCUAGCUAGUAAAAAUCUUUUUUUUUUUUAAAUUAUACUUUUAAGUUCUAGGGUACAUGUGCACAGCGUGCAGGUUUGUUACAUAUGUAUACAUGUGCCAUGUUGGUUUGCUGCACCCAUCAACUCGUCAUUUAGGCAUUUCUCCUAAUGCUAACCCUCCCCCAACCCCCCACCCCACAACAGGCCCCCGUGUGUGAUGUUCCCCUUCCUGUGUCCAAGUGUUCUCAUUGUUCAGUUCCCACCUAUGAGUGAGAACAUGCAGUGUUUGGUUUUCUAUUCUUGUGAUAGUUUGCUGGGAAUGAUGGUUUCCAGCUUCAUCCAUGUCCCUGCAAAGGACGUGAACUCAUCCUUUUUAUGGCUGCAUAGCAUUCCAUGGUGUAUAUGUGUCACAUUUUCUUAAUCCAGUCUAUCAUUGAUGGACAUUUGGGUUGGUUCCAAGUCUUUGCUAUUGUGAAUAGUGCCACAAUAAACAUACACGUGCAGGUGUCUUUAUAGUAGCAUGAUUUAUAAUCCUUUUGGUAUAUACCCAGUAAUGGGAUGGCUGGGUCAAAUGGUAUUUCUAGUUCUAGAUCCUUGAGGAAUCGCCACACUGUCUUCCACAAUGAUUGAACUAAUUUACACUCCCACCAACAAUGUAAAACACUCCUAUUUCUCCACAUCCUCUCCAGCAUCUGUUGUUUCCUGACUUUUUAAUGAUCACCAUUCUAACUGGCGUGAGAUGGUAUCUCAUUGUGGUUUUGAUUUGCAUUUCUCUGAUGACCAGUGAUCAUGAGCAUUUUUUCAUGUGUCUGUUGGCUGCAUAAAUGUCUUCUUUUGAGAAGUAUCUGUUCAUAUCCUUUGCCUACUUUUUAAUGGGGUUGUUUGUUUUUUUCUUGUAAAGUUGUUUAAGUUCUUUGUAGAUUCUGGAUAUUAGCCCUUUGACAGAUGAGUAGAUUGCAAAAAUUUUCUCCCAUUCUGUAGGUUGCAUGUUCACUCUGAUGAUAAUUUCUUUUGCUGUACAGAAACUCUUUAGUUUAAUUAGAUCCCAUUUUUCUAUUUUGGCCUUUGCAGCAAAGCUGCAAGGUGUCAGGAGAAUUCUUAGGCAGGUAUGCAGUUGCAUUUAUUAAUAUAAAUACCACAGUAGGAAUGGGAGAUGGUUGUUCAGAAACAGCUUGCACUAGAUGACACUACUGAAGGUCUGUUUUACCUUUGGAAGAGUACUGCAGAACCAUGAUGGAAUAGCUGACUGUUUUCCUAGCAAUUUCUCAUUAAUUUGUUCUUUCAAAGGCCAACAUCAGUGAUGUUGAGUGGAAGUAAAUGGUGGCCAAUUCAGUAAAUAUUGUUUUGUGGACUUAUGUAUCAGAUGCUGCUAGAUGUUUUUGCAAAUGUUAGGCUGCAUGAAUAUUUGUUUCCAUUUUCAGGAGAAAAAAACCUGAAGCUCAGAGGCCCUGUUGGGCCAUCGCUACUUCAAGUACUUGAUUAGUUAUCUGAAUAUUCAUGCUAAAAUAGGUUCUUUGCCUAAAUUCUUAGGUAAUUGCAACAUUGUAGAUAUGGUUCUUAAUCAUGUUUAAUCAUGUGCCAUUAAUCACAUGAUUUUAAAAUACUUCAACUCUUAAUCAAAUUUAAUCAUGUGCUGUUAAAUUUCUAAGACUAUGUUAGAACGGUGAUUGAAAACAUCUAUUUUAAAACACAUUUUCUAAUUUUCUAGUAAAUAAAGGGCUUUGUGGUUUUAUUAGUCCAUUUUUAUGCUGCUGAUAAAGACAUGCCCAAGACUGGGCAAUUUAGAAAAGAAAGACAUUUAAUGGACUCACAGUUAAUCAUGGCCGAAGGUAAAAGGCACAUCUCACAUGGCAGCAGACAAGAAAAGAUAGCUUGUGCAGUGAAACUCCCCUUUUUAAAACCAUCAGAUCUCUUGAGACUUAUUCACUAUCAUGAGAACAGCAUGGAAAGACCUGCCCCCAUAAUUCAAUCACCCCCUACCAGGUUCCUCCCAUGACAUGUCGAAAUUGUGGGAGUUACAAUUCAAGAUGAGAUUUGGGUGGGGAAACAGCCAAACCAUAUCAUUCCACCCCUGGCCCGUCUGAAAUCUCAUGUCUUCACUUUUCAAAACCAAUCAUGCCUUCCCAACAGUCUCCCAAAGUCUUAACUCAUUUCAGUACUAACUCAAAAGUCCACCGUUCAAAGUCUCAUCUGAGACAAGGCAAGUCCCUUCUGCCUAUGUGCUUAUAAAAUCAAAAGCAAGUUAGUUACUUCCUAGAUCCAGUGGGGGUACCAGCAUUGGGAAAAUAUACCCAUUCCAAAUGGGAAAAACUGGCUGAAACAAAGGGGAUAAAGACCACAUGCAAGUCUGAAAUCCAGCAGGGCAGUCAAAUCUUAAAGCUAUAAAAUGAUCUGCUUUGACUUCAUGUCUUGCAUUCAGGUCAUGCUGAUGCAAGAGGUGGGUUCCCAUGGUCUUGGGCAGUUGCUCCCCUGUGGCUUUGCAGGGUACAGGCCCCCUCCUGGCUGCUUUCAUGGGCUGGCAUUCAGUGUCUGUAGCUUUUCCAGGCACAUGGUGCAAGCUGUCAGUGGAUCUACCACUCUGGGGCCUGGAAGAUGAUGGCCUCUUCUCACAGCUCCACUAGGCAGUGCCCCAGUGGGGACUCUCUGUGGGGGCUUCAACCCCACAUUUCCCUUCCACACUGCCCUAGCAGAGGUUCUCCAUGAGGGCCCCACCUCACAGCAAACUUCUGCCUGGACAUCCAGGCGUUUCCCCACAUCCUUUGAAAUCUAGGUGAAGGUUUCCAAACCUCAGUUCUUUACUUCUGUGUACCCACAGGUUCAACAUCUUGUGGAAGUUGCCAAGGCUUGGGGCUUUCACCCUCUGAAGCCAUGGCCUGAGCUAUACCUUGACCCCUUUUAACCAUGGCUAGAGUGGCUGGAACACAGGGCACCAAUUCCCUAGGUGGCAUAAAGCAGGGGGGCCCUGUGCAUGGCCCAUGAAACCAUUUUUUCCUCCUAAGUCUCUGGGCCUGUGAUGGGUGGGGCUACCACAAAGGUCUCUGACUUGGCCUGGAGACAUUUUCCCCAUUGUCUUGGCAAGUAACAUUUGGCUCCUCAUUAUUUAUGCACAUUUCUGCAGAUCCUCAGAAAAUGGGGUUUUCUUUUCUAUCGCAUCAUCAGGUUGCAAAUUUUCUGAACUUAUGUGCUCUGUUUCCCUUUUAAAACUGAAUGCUUUUAACAGCACCGAAGUCACCUUUUGAAUGUUUUGCUGCUUAGAAAUUUCUUCUGCCAGAUACCCUAAAUCAUCCACCUCAAGUUCAAAGUUCUACAAAUCUCUGGGGCAGGGGCGAAAUGCCACCAGUCUCUUUGCUAAAAUAUAGCAAGGGCCACCUUUACUCCAGUUCCCAACAAGUUCCUCAUCUCCAUCUGAGACCACGCCUGGAUUUCAUUGUCCCUAUCAUUAUCAGCAUUUUUGUCAGAGCCAUUCAACAAAUCUCUAGGAAGUUUCAAACUUUUCCACAUUUUUUUGUCUUCUCUUGAACCCUCCAAGCUGUCCCAACUUCUGCCUGUUACCCAGUUCCAAAGUUGCCUUCCCAGUUUUGGGUAUCUUUACAGCAGCACCCCACUCUACUGGUAGCAAUUUCUGUAUUAUUCUAUUUUCAUGCUGAUAAUAAAGACAUACUAAAGACUGCAUAAUUUAUAAAGAAAAACAGGUUUAAUGGACUCACAGUUCCACAUGGCUGUGGAGACCUCACAAUCAUGGUGGAAGGUAAAAGGCACAUCUCACAUGGUGGUGGACAAGAGAAGAGAGCUUGUGCAGGGAAACUCCCUAUUUUAAAAACCAUCAGAUCUUGUGAGACUUAUUCACUAUCACAAGAACAGCUUGGGAAAGACCUGCCCCCAUAACUCAAUCACCUCCCACCAGAUUGGUCCCAUGACACGUGGGAAUUGUGGGAGUUACAAUUCAAGAUGAGAUGUGGGUGGGGACACAGCCAAACCAUAUCACUGGUCAUUUUAGAAAAAUUAGAAAAUACAAUUUUUCACAUAUACACAUACAUACAUAUUUUGUGCUAAUUUCUUUGCUUUCUCUGUUAAUGCCUCAGACCAACAAUUUCCCCAAUGCAAACCAGUGGAUUUUGGUAGUAUUGUUUUUGAACUUGUUUAAAUAGUUGCAGAAUGAGGAAGUUUUACUCAUUUUGGCCAGUGUUGCGAAUUAUCUAGACUUGUCAUAGAUAAUUUAUUACCUACAAAUGAGCUUGGGAAACUGAAAAACUGUGUUUAAUAACUCAGCUUGUCUAGUAAAAUUAUUAUAGAUGUCAUCAGAAGAGCCUACUUCUAUAGUCCAUUGAGUAGUAGUUAUUCAAAGUGUUGUGCUUUGGUGGUCCAUCUGUAGGGCAUAUUUAAAAAUCCAUUAUUUAUUUGGCAUAAUUAAUCUAAAAAAUAAAUAAAAUAAAAUGCUUCCAUGUUCCUUUGAAAACCUCUUUGCUUUGAAGGUGAUACAGCAGUCUGUAGAACUACAUCUCACUCUACAACAUCAGAUGUUCAAGGAUUAUACUUUUUCUUAUUUUUUUUGUAACUCAGUUUCUAUUUUGAGCCCCUGUUCUGCCCAGGUGACUGAAUUUUUUUUAAAUUUCCCAGUUUUAUUUUAAGUUCAGGGAAAUAUGUGCAAAAUAUGUAGGUUUGUUACAUAGGUAAACAUGUGCCAUGGUGGUUUGCUGCAAAGAUCAUCCCAUCAUCUCAGUAUUAAGCUCAGCAUCUGUUAGCUGUUCUUCCUGAUGAUCUCCCUCCUGCCAUAUCCCACCCUCUGACAAUCCCCAGUGUGUGUUGUUCCCAUCAAUGUGUCCAUGUGUUCAUCAUUUAGCUCCCACUUAUAAGUGAGAACAUGUGGUAUUUGGAUUUGUGUUCCUCUGUUUGUGGAGGAUUAUGGCAUCCACCUCCAUCUAUGUCUUGCAAAGGACAUGAUCUCGUUCCUUUUUAUGGCUGCAUAGUAUUCCAUGGUGUAUAUGUACCACAUUUUGUUUAUCCAGUCUAUCAUUGAUGGGCAUUUGAGUUGAUUCCAUGUCUUUCUAUUGUGAAAAGUGCUGCAGUGAACAUAUGCAUGCAUGUAUCUCUAUAACAGAGUGCUUUAUAUUCCUUUGGGUAUAUACCCAGUAAUGGGACUACUGGGUUGAAUGGUAGUUCUGCCUCUAGGUCUUUGAGGAAUUGCCACACUGUCUUCCACAGUGGUCAAACUAAUUUACACUCCCACCAACAGUGUAAAAGUGUUCCUUUUUCUCCACAACCUCACCAGCAUCUGUUGUUUUUUGACUUUUUAAUAAUAGUCAUUCUGACUGGUGUGAGAUGGUAUCUCACUGUGGUUUUGAUUUUCAUUUCUCUAAUGAUCAGUGAAGUUGAACUUUUUUUUUUCAUGUGUUUGUUGGCUGCAUGUAUGUCUUCUGAUAAGUGUCUGUUCAUGUCCUUUGGGUGGCUGAAAUUUUAAUGUCAGAGGCCUCACUUUCCUGUUGCUCUGAUAAUUCUUGGGUGAGGGUAGUGGGUUGUACUAGUUGUCUUCAUCUUUUCAUGGUGGUGAGUGGUGGCAUCUGUAGAAAUGUUUGUCCUUCAUUUUAUUUCUGUAGUAGUUGAUCAUCACAGGUUGCUGCUGACUCAUCAUUCUCAUUGACAAGUUUUUAUCUGGUAAAGCAACUCUUUCUGUAACUUCCAUGCUAUUAAUUGCAUUAUAUUCUUUCUGAGGUCCCCAGACUACUAUAAAAUGUGGAGAACUCCCUAAGACUGCCAUUUGUUUAAGCCUUCCUGGUGCUGUGUGGGGUCUGAGAACCUCUAUAAGGCUAAUACUUUGCCCCACAUAUUAUCCAUCCAUUUCUUCUGUGGUAUCUUUCUGCCUUCCUGAGUCUAUACCUUAGAAAUGGGACACAGAUUGCUCUGUUCUCUUGCAAGAAUAAUGUCUAUAUCCGUUGUUUCUUUGCAUCUUCUUAUCCUCAUUCCAGGGAGUUUUCAUCAAGUCUGGAGGGUGAGAAAUUUUUUUUUUUAAAGAUGUUUGCCAAAAUCUGUCUUCCAUGCCACGUAUUGCAAAUCGAUGGAUCAAAUUUGACCCACAGAAGUGAUUUUGUUUGGACAAUAUUUUAAAAUUUUGGAAAAUUCACAUAAAAAUUUGAAUUUUCAGGAUACUUUUUGGGUAAAAAACAAUCUUGCAGCAUUUUCAUAUGGUAAAAUCAGCUGGAGCUUCAUAGUGGCUCCUUGUAGGGUUUCCUCACUCCAGUUCCCACAUUCCUUUUUCACCUGCCUGGCUGUUAUAAGUGUAGUUCUGAGUCCUUUCCACUCAGAAAAUAGGCCCAGGAUUUUGAAAUUCAUGGGUCAAGAAAAAGACUCCUUACUUCUGCUUUCUACUGUCACUUCUUUUCUGAGACAGUACGAGCCUUUCUGCUGGUUGCAUGGAUGACGAAUCUAAGGACAAUUAGGGGGAAAAGAUUGGCUAGUAUUUAAAAAAUGUUAAACUAUUACAAGGUAUUAUCAAGAUUUUAUUUUACUAAUUUAAAAAUGUUUUGUCAAGUCAACUUCUAAAACUCAGCUUUACUGAGGUAUAAAUUACAUAAAAUAAAGUUCACCAAUUUUAAAUAAACAAUUCAAACUAUUUUAUUAGUGAUUGUAUAUGCCACAUUUCUACCAGUGAUGUAUGAAAGUUCAGUUGCCCCAAAGUCUUAUCAUUUGGUAUUAAUAUUUUAAUUGUAGUCUCUUUAGUGGGUGUAUUAUGACUAGUUAUAUCUCAUUGUAGUUUUAAUUGGCAUUUUUCUAAUGAAUAAUGAGAUUGAGCAUGUUUUCAUGCACGUAUUUUCUUGUAUAUCUCUUUUUUGGAGAAAUAUCUGUUUAAAGCUUGUCUAUUUUAAAAAAUUGAGUUAUUGUCUUAUUUUUGAGUUGUAAGGACUCAUAUAUUAUGGAUACAAGUCCAAAGUCGUUUAUCAGAUACAUCUUUUGUAAAUAUUUUCUCCUGCUCUGUGGUGUGCCUUUUUGUUUUCUUUUUUUUUCUUUUUCGAGAUGAAGUCUCACUCUGUCACUCAGGCUGGAGUACGAUGGCAUGAUCUCGGCUCACUGCAACCUUUGCCUCCUGCGUUCAAGCAAUUCUCUUGUCUCAGCCUCCCGAGUAGCCGGGAUUACAGGUAUGCGCCACCAUACCCAGCUAAUUUUUUUGUAUUUUUAGUAGAGACGGGGUUUCACCAUGUUGGCCAGGCUGGUCUCGAACUCCUGACCUCAAGUGAUCCACUCUCCUCGGCCUCCCAAAGUACGGGGAUUACAGGCACGAGCCACUGCACCCGGCUGUGCUUUUGUUUUCUUAACGGUUUUUUGAAAAACAAAAGUUUUUACUUUAGUGAAAGGCAGUUUUCUUAUUUUUGGUUUUUUGUUUUAUGGCUUUUGUGUCUUACUAGAAUUUAACUCUAGGUCACAAAUAUUUUCUCAUAUAUAUUCUUCUGGGAGUUUUAUACUUUCUACUCUUAUAUUUAAAUCUGUAAUACAUUUUGAGUGAAUUUUUUAUAAUUUCAUUAUAUGCUUAUCUUACACUAUAAAAUGUGGAUGUCUAGUUCUUCUUGUUCUCUUUGUUAAAGACACCACUUUUUCCCUACUAAAUUAAUUGUGCAUUUGUACAUUUGUUGAAAAUCAGUUGAUCAUAAGUGUAUUUUCAAUUCUAUUCUGUACCAUUAACUUAGGUAUUUCUUUAAGUUAGUAUCACACCAUAUUGGUUAUGAUAGUUUAAGUACUGAAAUCAGAUAGCUUAAGUCCUCCAAUUUUUUUCUCAAAAUUUAUUUUGAAAUUUGAAAAUUCCUUUAAAAAUUAAAAAUGUAGCCAGUGCGGGUCCUCCGUAUGCUGAGCGCCGGUCCCCUGGGCCCACUUUUCUUUCUGUAUACUUUGUUUCUGUGUCUCUUUCUUUUCUCAUGUCUCUCAUUCCACCUGAUAAGAAACGCCCACAGGUGUGGAGGGGCUGGCCACCCCUUCAUCUGGUGCCCAACAUGGUGCUUUUCUCUAGGGCGAAGUUACGCUCGAGCGUUGUCACUGAGGACAAGUUAAUGAGAGAUUCCCGAGUAUGUCUACAGUCAGCCUUGUGACAUUUGAAGUUCUACAAUGAACCCAUCAGAGAUGCAAAGAAAAGCGCCUCCAUGGAGAUGGAGACACCACAGUCAAGCACCAUUGAGUCACAAGAUGAACAGAAUGGUGAUGUCAGAACAGAUGAAGUUGCCAUCCACCAAGAAGGCAGAGCCACUGACUUGGGCACAAUUAAAGAAGCUGACAGAGUUAGCUAAAAAAAAAAAGCCUAGAGAACACAAAGGUGACACAAACUCCAGAGAACAUGCUGUUUGCAGCGUUGAUGAUUGUAUCAAUGGUGUCUGCAGGUGUACCCAGCAGCUCCAAAGAGACAGCGACCAUCGAGGAUGAGCCAUGAUGACAAUGGUGGUUUUGUCAAAAAGAAAAGGGGGAAAUGUGGGGAAAAGAAAGAGAGAUCAGACUGUUACUGUGUCUAUGUAGAAAGAAGUAGACGUAAGAGACUCCAUUUUGUUCUGUACUAAGAAAAAUUCUUUUUUUUUUUUUUUUUUUUUUUUUUUUUUUUGAGACGGAGUCUUGCUCUGUCACCCAGGCUAGAGUGCAGUGGCGCAAUCUCGGCUCACUGCAAACUCCGCCUCCCGGGUUCAUGCCAUUUGCCUGCCUCAGCCUCUCCGAGUAGCUGGGACUACAGGCGCCCGCCACCACGCCCGGCUAAUUUUUUGUAUUUUUAGUAGAGACGGGGUUUCACCGUGGUCUCGAUCUCCUGACCUCGUGAUCCGCCCGCCUCGGCCUCCCAAAGUGCUGGGAUUACAAGCGUGAGCCACCGCGCCCGGCCAGAAAAAUUCUUUUGCCUUGAGAUGCUGUUAAUCUGUAAUCCUACCCCUAACCCUGUGCUCGCAGAAACAAGUGCUGUGACGACUCAAGGUUUAGUGGAUUUAGGGCUAUGCAGGAUGUGCUUUGUUAAACAAAUGCUUGUAGGCAGCAUGCUUGUUAAAAGUCAUCACCACUCCCUAAUCUCAAGUACCCAGGGACACAAAACACUGUGGAAGGCUGCAGGGACCUCUGCCUAGGAAAGCCAGGUAUUGUCCAAGGUUUCUCCCCAUGUGAUAGUCUGAAAUACGGCCUUGUGGGAAGGGAAAGACCUGACCGUCCCCCAGCCCGACACCCAUAAAGGGUCUGUGCUGAGGAGGAUUAGUGAAAGAGGAAGGCCUCUUUGCAGUUGAGAUAAGAGGAAGGCAUCUGUCUCCGGCUCGUCCCUGGGCAAUGGAAUGUCUCAGUGUAAAACCCGAUUGUAUAUUCCAUCUACUGAGAUAGGAGAAAACCGUCUUAGGGCUGGAGGUGAGACAUGCAGGCAGCAAUACUGCUCUUUAAGGCAUUGAGAUGUUUAUGUAUGUGUACAUCAAAAGCACAGCACCUUUUACUUUACCUUGUUUAUGAUGUAGAGACAUUUGUUCACAUGUUUUCCUGCUGACCUUCUCCCCACUAUUACCCUAUUGUCCUGCCGCAUCCCCCUCUCCGAGAUGGUAGAGAUAAUAAUGAAUAAAUACUGAGAGAACUCAGAGACCGGUGCUGGCGCGGGUCCUCUGUAUGCUGAGCGCCGUUUCCCUGGGCCCACUUUUCUUUCUCUAUUUAAAAAAAAAAAAAAAAAUUAAAAAUGUAAAAAAUUAUUUGAGUUGUACUAGUUAUUUUGUAUUUUCAUAUAAAUUUUAGAAUAAGCAUGCCAGUGUCUACAAAAAGGCUUACUAGGAUUUUUACUGGAAUGGUAUCAAAUCUAUAGAUUAACCUGAGGAUAAUUAACAUCUUUAAAAAGUAUUGGAUCUUCUGAUCCAUAAACAUAGUACGUCUCUUCAUGUAUGUAGAAUGUCUUUAAUGUUUGUCAGCAAUGUUUUAUAGUUUUCAUUGUACAGAUCUUGCACAUAGUUUGUUAAAUUUAUUCCCAAUUAUUUCCAGUUUUUUUGUUGCUAUUAUAAAUUGCAUUGAUUUUUGAAUUAUAAUUUCCAAUUAUUUGUUCUUAGAACAUAGCAAUACAAUUGAUUUUUGUACACUGACUUUGAUAUGACCUUGCCAAACUUAUUUAUUAGUUUGGUAGGUUGUUGUUGUUUUCUGUUUUACUUUUUUGUAGAUUCGUUACAUUGAAAUAAUUAUAAAUAAUCAUGCCAGCUAUCAAAAAGACAGUUUUAUUAUUUCCUUUCCAAUCUAUGUGCCUGUUAUUAUUUUUUUCUCUAGGAUUUCCAGUACAAUGUUGAAUAGAAGUGGCUAGAGGAUAUGUCCUUGCUUUGUUCCUAGUCUUAGGGCAAUAGCAUUCAGUCUUUCUUCCAUAUGUAGGACAUCAGUUCCUCAAUAUUAGUUUGAGGAAGUUCCUUUAUAUUCCUAGUUUGUUGAGGGUUUAUUAUGAAUAGGUGUUGGAUUUUGUCAAAUGCUUUCUCUGCAUCUUUUCAGGUGUGUGUGUGUGUGUGUGUGUGUAGUUAACAUGGUAAAUUUUACAUUGAUUUUUUUUCAAAAGUUAAAACUACAUUUCCGGAAAAAAUGCUUUUUCUGUGUCUUUUGAGAUGAUCCUUUGUGUUUGUAUAUGUGCGUGUUACUUAAUAUAAUCCCUAGUAAUAUUCUUUGAUCUGAAGUCUACCUCAUCUGAUAUUAAUACAUAUUCUCCAACUUUCUUCUAAUUUGUGUUUAUAUGGUAUAUCUAUUUGCACUUUUUACUUUUAACCUAUUUGUGUCUUUAUGUUUAAAGUAAGUUUCUCUAUUUCUUUUUGUUUUUCCUUCAUUUUAAAUCCAAUCUGGCAGUCUCUAAUAUUGUUAUUGAUAUGGUUGAGUUUAAAUUUAUUAUCUUGCUUUUUUUUUCCUAUUUGUCCCAUCUUGUCUUCUGUUGACUUAUUAACCAUAUACCUCUUUGUUUUAAUUUACUAGUGAUUGCUCUGCAGUUUAAAACACACAUCUUUAACUUAUCACAAUCUAUCUUUACAUAAUAUCGUACAACUUUACAUAUGGGGAAGAACCUUACAAUGUUGUUAGUGUCGUACAUUUUACUUCUUCAUAUUUUGUGAAUCUGUAAAAGAAAAAGAUAAGCUUUUUUUCCUCCUCUCACAUAUUUAACAGAAUACUGAAUACUUCACUUGAGGUCAUCAAACCGUGUGUGGGGAUUGUCACAGGUUAAGGGGCAGAGCCACAAGACCUCACUUCACUUCAGAUGCCAGCCACAAGUCCGGGUUGUGACUUGCACUUUUGACUAACCAGCUGUAAAUCAGUGGUUGUCAUGACCCCAUCCUUGGGUUCAUUAAUUUGUUGGAGUGCCUUACAAAACUCAGGGAAACACUCUACUUCAGUAAAUGGGUACAUUUAUUAUAGAGGAUAUUACAAAGGAUAUAGAUAAACAGCCAGUUGGAAGAGAUGUGUAGGACAAGGUGUGUGGGAAGAGGCAUAGAGCUUCCGUGGCCUCUCAGGGUGCACCACCCUCCAGGCACUUCUGUGUUCAGCAGUGCAGAAGCUUUCUGAACCCUGUAGUUCAGGGAUUGUUAUGGAGGUUUCAUCAUGUAGGCAUGAUUGAUUAAGUCAUCGGCCAUUGGUGAUCAACUCAACUUUUAACCCCUUUCCCCAUCCCCGGAGAUCUGAGGGUAGGGCUAAAAUUUCCAACCUUCUACUCACAUGGUUGGCUCCCCCUGGCAACCAGUCCCCAUUCUGAGGCUAUUCAGGAGCCCACCAAGAGUUACCUCGUUAGAGCAAAAGAUACUACUAUCACUUAGGAAAUUACAAAGGUUUUAGGAGGUCUGUGGCAGAAACUGGGGUAAAAGACCAAGUAUUAGAACAAAAGAUUUUUCUAGUACUCCUAGCUACAAAGGUUUUAGGAGUUCUGUCUCAGGAACUGAGGGCAGAGACUAAAUAUAUUUCUUUAUAUCACAAAAGCUUACUAAAUGUAUUUUUAUUAAAUCACAAAAACUUACAGUACGUUGUAAUUGUUUCUGCCUUGGGUAAUCUCCUUCAUCUUUUUCUUUUAUUUUAUCUUCUUUUUAUGAGACAGGGUUUCCCUCUGUUGCCAGGCUGGAGUGGAGUGGAGUGCGGUGGUGCAAUCAUGUCUCAUUACAGCCUCCAUCUCCUGGGUUCAAGGGAUCCUCCUGCCUCAGGCUCCUGAGUAGCUGGGACUACAGUCACAUGCCACAAUGCCUAGCUAAUUUUUUAAAUACUGAUUUUCAGUAGGGAUGAGGUCUUGCCAUAUUGCCCAGGCUUGUCUCAAACUCCUGGGCUCAAGCAAUCCUGCCUUGACCUCUCAAAGUGCUGAGAUUAUAGGCAUGAGCCACUGCACCCAGUUCCUUUAUCUUUUAAAAAGAUUAAAAUAUGAGGAAAACAUUUAUUAUUUUUACAUAUUUACCAUUUCUGGUACUUUUUUCUUUUUUGUGUAGAGUUAUAUUUCUUUCUGGUUUAAUUUUUAUCCUUGCUGAUGAACUUUAACAUUUCUUGUAGUGCCAGUCUGAUGGCAUCAAUUUUUCUCAGUAUUUGUCUGUCUGGAAAAGGUCUGUAUUUUGCCCUCAUUUUUUAAAAGAUAUAUUUUUUGUUGUAUAGAACGUGUGUUUUUUGGUUUAUUUUUUGUUUCAGUACUUUAAAGAUGUCACUCCAUUGUCUUUUGACUUACCUAGUUUUUGAUGAGAAGUUUUCUAUCAUUCUUGGUUUUAUUCUUCUGCACAAAAUGUGUCUUUUUUUUCCUGCUCUCUGGCUGCUUUUAAGAUAUUCUCUUUAUUUCUCAUUUCCAGAAGUUUGAUUAUGUUGUGGUUUGGUAUGAUGUUAUGAUAUUAUUAUUAUGUUAUGAUGUUAUCAUGUGUGGAUUUUUUUUGGGUUUAUUCUGCUCAGAAUUUCUUGAGCUGAUUUGCAUGUGUUAUUUAUUUAUUUUUACAGAAUUUAGAAAAUCCAUGGUGAUUUUUUUCAAAUAUUUUUUUCUUUGUCCUUUUCUUUCUAGGACUGCAGUUACGUAUAUAUUAGUCUGCAUGAUAUGGUCGUACAGAUACACUGCCUCUAGGACUGGGACAGAUAGCCACUGAGUACCUGCUUCAAAUCACCCUGCACGUUUUCUUGUUGGAAAGAUAACCACUGGAGAACCAUCUCGUUACCUUCAGCAAAAAUGGAAACAAAUCAAGACAUUAAGAAUGCCACAGUGGACAGCAGUUAGGCAAGGUUCAGCAGAGGAAGUUUUCAAGAUGGUGUGCCUCGCUAGCCAGAAAUCAGAAAAGAUCAAAGCUAGCCUUUUCAUCUCAGCUGCUCCUUAAAUCAGUGCAACCCCUCCAAAUUAAUGUGAAUUGAAACAUGCAUUGCUUUUCAACUUAAUUGAGUAUUUACUAUAUAUGAAUCACUGCACAAAAUAGGGGAAGAAAAUGUGGGAGACAAAGAUGUGGAGCCUGCCUUCAAUAAAUUUACAGUUAGUUUCAGGGUACAUUGUUUUUCUUCUGCUGUUAAUUAGGUGUAUCCCCAAGACAAUAAAUAAAUGAAUGGAAAAGUAUAUUCUGUGUUUUAAGUCUCUUUAAUAAAAAACAAAACAAAAUCCAAAAAAAUUCCUAACAUGGCAACUCAGGACAUUUUAAUCCUUUUUUUUGUUGUUGGACUUCUGAUAGGAUCCAUUUUAUUGAUUCUGUAAAUAUUUAGUAGACUUUAGAUAUAUUAAUACAUUGUAGCUUGAGUUAAUUUGCAUUAAAUUCUUUUUUUUCCCCUUAGGUAUAGAUUGUCUGUUGGAAAAAUAUAUUGUUUGUGGAUUUCUUGGGGAGUGGGAAGGUGAAUUAUACCUGUUGUCUCUAUAGUCCACUACCUUCCACGCCCUAGGGCAGCGGUCCCCAACCUUCUUGGCACCAGGGACCAGUUUCCUGGAAGACAAUUUUUCCGUAGAUGGUGUGGGGAUGGUUUUGGGAUGAAACUGUUUCACCUCAGAUCAUCAGGCAUUAGUUAGGCUCUCAUAAGGGGUGCGCAGCCUAGAUCCCUCACAUGCGCAGUUCACAGUAGGGUUUGCGCUGCUAUGAGAAUCUAAGGCUGCCACUGAUCUGACAGGAGGCAGAGCUCAGGUGGCAAUGCUUACUGGCCCACUGCUCACCUCUUGCUGUGUGGCCUGGUUCCUAAUAGGCCAUGGACCCCCACAGACUGGUACUAGUCCGCAGCUUGUGGACCCCAGCCCUAGGGGCCUGCCAUUCUGAGUGAGUUAUUAGCAUGAAGAAGAGGAAGAUCUGGAUCAAACGUGGGUGGUGGCACUCAGAGACCCAAGAUAGGAUAGGGAUGGAACAAAACCCAUCUGGGCAACGGCUGUAUGAAAAUUUGGCUAAGUAAUUAUUUCAGUAUUCAUUGUAUUCAUUGUCCUUUGUGUUCCAUAAGUUAAAUGACUGUCUAAUUUUUCCAAAAAUUUAUUUCUGACUUGAGAAUAAGUGUGUCAUGAUUUUCCCAGUGUGAAGACACUGAUAUAACUGUAGAUACCAGACAUUUUAGGUAGUGUCUGUGACAUUUUAGUAUGUAUGAGCCAACAAUAGACAUGUCUUUGUCUUGAGGAGUGUCCAUCUGAAUUGAAAAUGUGUCAGCUUUUUUUUAACAUCAUCAACAGACUUCUUAAUUAAGCUGCCAAUACAUACUGCCAAUAGUACUGUGUGCUGUCUGAGAAAUGCAUUGUGUAAGUGCUAUUUCCAUCUUAUUAAAUAAACAAUGUGGCUCCAUAUAAACUGGAUUUAAAGUGUUCUUUGAAUGAGGCAUUAUAUUGCUCCAUAAAUAAUGUGAUGUGAAUUCUCAUAUGAUCCCUUUUAACUUAAUUUCUAAAAAAAUAUUAUUUGCUACUCAGUAAGGAAUAGCUCUAAUUGGACUGGUAAGUUUAGUGAUAUGAUUUGUCUGUAACAGGCUGAAUCGCCCCACUCCCAAACUCCUGGUCAUGGUACUGGAUAUUUGUUAUGCCACUUUUAGUUUGCAUGAAGUAUCUUCCAGGAAGUCUUAGUUAUUAACUUGUGUUAUACUAAACUGUUGAUAUUUAUUUCCUGUUCUGGAAGAUUUCUUGGAGGGUCCGUCUGUGUAUUCCUUGUGCCUAGUGUAGUCAUGCUAAUGGAAUAGCACCUUUAUUGGUGCUACUUAGUGGUUGGUAGCUUACAAUCAAUCUGCUUAGAAUGUAUCCAAAUAAACUGGAUAUUUUUAUA